GGACUACACGGGUUUCUAAUCCUGUUUGCUCCCCACGCUUUCGCACCUCAGCGUCAGUGUUGGGCCAGAAAGCCGCCUUCGCCACUGAUGUUCCUCCAGAUAUCUACGCAUUUCACCGCUACACCUGGAAUUCCGCUUCCCUCUCCCACACUCGAGUCAGGCAGUCUUGAAUGCAAUUCCCAAGUUAAGCCCGGGGAUUUCACAUCCAACUUACCUAACCGCCUACGUGCGCUUUACGCCCAGUAAUUCCGAUUAACGCUCGCACCCUCUGUAUUACCGCGGCUGCUGGCAC
rnacentral:rRNA from 1 species